rnacentral:snRNA from 1 species
UGCCGAUAAAAAGGCACUUUGGUCUAUUGAAACGAUACAGAGAAGAUUAGCAUGGCCCCUGCACUAAGGAUGACACGCUCAAUCAGAGAGAAGCUACUUCUUUUU